rnacentral:rRNA from 1 species
UACGAAGGGGGCUAGCGUUGCUCGGAAUCACUGGGCGUAAAGGGUGCGUAGGCGGGUUUUUAAGUCAGGGGUGAAAUCCUGGAGCUCAACUCCAGAACUGCCUUUGAUACUGAAGAUCUUGAGUCCGGGAGAGGUGAGUGGAACUGCGAGCGUAGAGGUGAAAUUCGUAGAUAUUCGCAAGAACACCAGUGGCGAAGGCGGCUCACUGGCCCGGUACUGACGCUGAGGCACGAAAGCGUGGGGAGCAAACAGG